rnacentral:lncRNA from 1 species
UCUUACACCAGAGGAUCUCCAUAGCAAUCUCUCUCUCUAUUUAUAAAUAAAUAUAAAAAUAUUUGUCCCUCACCAUGUUAUUGUUAGCUACAAAUUCCUUUUCUUUUCCUUUAAAUUAAGACAGUGGAAUUACCAAGAAGAAGAGAUAAAAAAGCAAGAGAGAGAUAUAUAUAAAUAGAGAGAGCGAGAGUGGGGAUGAUA